UACGUAGGGGGCGAGCGUUGUCCGGAUUUAUUGGGCGUAAAGAGCGUGUAGGCGGCCAGGUAGGUCUGCUGUGAAAACUCGAGGCUCAACCUCGAGACGUCGGCGGAAACCAUCUGGCUAGAGUCCGGAAGAGGAGAAUGGAAUUCCUGGUGUAGCGGUGAAAUGCGCAGAUAUCAGGAAGAACACCCGUGGCGAAGGCGGUUCUCUGGAACGCAACUGACGCUGAGACGCGAAAGCUAGGGGAGCAAACGGG
rnacentral:rRNA from 1 species